CGGCCACAUUGGGACUGAGACACGGCCCAGACUCCUACGGGAGGCAGCAGUGGGGAAUAUUGCACAAUGGGCGCAAGCCUGAUGCAGCAACGCCGCGUGAAGGAAGACGGUUUUCGGAUUGUAAACUUCUGUUCUUAGUGAAGAAUAAUGACGGUAGCUAAGGAGCAAGCCACGGCUAACUACGUGCCAGCAGCCGCGGUAAUACGUAGGUGACAAGCGUUGUCCGGAAUUACUGGGUGUAAAGAGAGCGCAGGCGGGUGAUCAAGUCAGCUGUGAAAACUACGGGCUUAACCCGUAGACUGCAGUUGAAACUGUUCAUCUUGAGUGAAGUAGAGGUUGGCGGAAUUCCGAGUGUAGCGGUGAAAUGCGUAGAUAUUCGGAGGAACACCGGUGGCGAAGGCGGCCAACUGGGCUUUAACUGACGCUGAGGCUCGAAAGUGUGGGGAGCAAACAGGAUUAGAUACCCUGGUAGUCCACACUGUAAACGAUGAUAGCGAGGUGUGGGGGGUCUGACCCCUUCCGUGCCGGAG
rnacentral:rRNA from 1 species